rnacentral:lncRNA from 1 species
UGAUCAUAUUUUUUUAAAUUCAAAAUUGUCUCAUAUUGUGUAAAAACGGUUCAAGUUGAUCAUUUUUUCUGAUGACGUUAAAAAAAACGCUUAAGGCAUAUAUAUGUGGCAAGAUCUGUCUAAUUGAUGUGACAAUGUUAAAAGUCUUUGAUCUUAAUUAAACCCUUUCUAUUACAAUUAAAUUUACUUUAGGGGUUGUCUUCUCCUUUUCUGGUUAAGGAACGUGAUUGGCUGGGUUGAAUCAGGGUUUUGUUAUUUGGGGUUUCUUCUCUACAGGUUUUGAUCUCGCAAUUUGGGGCUAGGGUUUUGAUUUGGGUUAUGUUAUUUGGGAUUUUUGUUCUUGAUUCUUGUUUACAAGUUUUGAUCUCGCGAUUUGAGGCUAUGGUUUUGAUUUGGGUUCUGUUGUUUGGGGUUUUUGUUAUUGAUUCUUCUCUACAGGUUUUGAUCUCGCGAUUUGGAGUUCAGAUUUUGAUUUGAGUUUUGUUAUUUGGGGUUUCUGUUCUUGAUUCUUCUCUAUAGGUUUUGAUCUCGCGAUUUUGAGUUAGUGUUUUGAUUUGAGUUAUGUUAUUUGAAAU